rnacentral:rRNA from 1 species
AUCACUGGUGUUCGGGUUGUCAUGCCAAUGGCACUGCCCGGUAGCUAAAUGCGGAAGAGAUAAGUGCUGAAAGCAUCUAAGCACGAAACUUGCCCCGAGAUGAGUUCUCCCUGAGACUWUAAGUCUCCUGAAGGAACGUUGAAGACGACGACGUUGAUAGGCCGGGUGUGUAAGCGCAGCGAUGCGUUGAGCUAACCGGUACUAAUGAACCGUGAGGCUUAACCUUACAACGCCGAAG